rnacentral:lncRNA from 1 species
UUGGAAAGCAAACUGGGUCAAGCUGUCAUUUGGCCAUUUAAAAAUGAAGAAAAACCACUCACUCCACCUCAAAAAACAUAGAGCGUAACUGGCUUUAUGUCUUCAUCAGUCAAUCCAAACAAGUUAGAGGAUCUUGGUGUUUAAUUUUGGGCCGCCGCCUCCUCAGCCGCCGGUGCCGCCGCGGCCGGACUCACCUCCCCUAGCAAAGCCGGAUAGACCGGAGCCAGCGGCGGACACGCGCAACCAGCCGCCGAGGCCCCGCCCCCGCCUUGCACUGACCGGCUGCCCUAGCCAAUCCACGCCCACCUGUCCGCUACCGCCUCCAAUCCUGGGCCAGGAGCUUCAGACAGGCGCACUGUUCGGCCAGUGGCAACAAGGAGCAGGAAGCUGCGUGCUAAUCCCGCCUGCAAAAGCUGGAAGAGAGGGGCGGAAUGAAAGAACCAAUCAUGAGCCAGAGGCAAAGAACAGAGUAACCAAUCCUUGGGUUGAAAAUGAAGUAUGCGGGCACCUGGGCCAGAUAGACACUUGACCUGACAAAUGGAAAAAAAGAUUGAUGUAAGUCCCACCCUUUAUAGCUCCUCUAGGACAGGAUUGUGGAGAAUUUGCUGUCAUAUCGAGA